CGGCAGGCCUAACACAUGCAAGUCGAACGGUAACAGGAAGCAGCUUGCUGCUCGCUGACGAGUGGCGGACGGGUGAGUAAUGUCUGGGAAACUGCCUGAUGGAGGGGGAUAACUACUGGAAACGGUAGCUAAUACCGCAUAACGUCGCAAGACCAAAGAGGGGGACCUUCGGGCCUCUUGCCAUCAGAUGUGCCCAGAUGGGAUUAGCUAGUUGGUGGGGUAACGGCUCACCAAGGCGACGAUCCCUAGCUGGUCUGAGAGGAUGACCAGCCACACUGGAACUGAGACACGGUCCAGACUCCUACGGGAGGCAGCAGUGGGGAAUAUUGCACAAUGGGCGCAAGCCUGAUGCAGCCAUGCCGCCGUGUAUGAAGAAGGCCUUCGGGUUGUAAAGUACUUUCAGCGGGGAGGAAGGUGUUGUGGUUAAUAACCGCAGCAAUUGACGUUACCCGCAGAAGAAGCACCGGCUAACUCCGUGCCAGCCGCCGC
rnacentral:rRNA from 1 species